rnacentral:rRNA from 1 species
GGCGUCCGAGUUGUAAUUUGUAGAGGAUGCUAUUGAGUUGUCACCGGUCUAAGUUCCUUGGAACAGGACGUCAUAGAGGGUGAGAAUCCCGUAUGUGACCGGCCAGACGCUCUCUGUAUAGCUCCUUCGACGAGUCGGGUUGUUUGGGAAUGCAGCCCUAAAUGGGAGGUAAAUUUCUUCUAAAGCUAAAUACCGGCCAGAGACCGAUAGCGCACAAGUAGAGUGAUCGAAAGAUGAAAAGCACUUUGGAAAGAGAGUUAAAAAGCACGUGAAAUUGUUGAAAGGGAAGCGCUUGCAAUCAGUCUCGACGGCGGCUGUUCGGCCCCUCUUCUGAGUGGUUUAUUCAGCCGCCGCCGGGCCAGCAUCAGUUUCGGCGGUCGGAUAAAGGCGCGGGGAAUGUAGCUCCCCUCGGGGAGUGUUAUAGCCCCGCGUGCAAUACGGCCCGCCGGGACUGAGGUCCGCGCUUCGGCUAGGAUGCUGGCGAAAUGGUUGUAAGCGGCCCGUCUUGAAACACGGACCAAGGAGUCUAACAUCUAUGCGAGUGUUUGGGUGUCAAACCCGUGCGCGUAAUGAAAGUGAACGGAGGUGGGAACCGCAAGGUGCACCAUCGACCGAUCCUGAUGUCUUCGGAUGGAUUUGAGUAAGAGCAUAGCUGUUGGGACCCGAAAGAUGGUGAACUAUGCCUGAAUAGGGUGAAGCCAGAGGAAACUCUGGUGGAGGCUCGCAGCGGUUCUGACG